rnacentral:rRNA from 1 species
GAUGAACGCUGGCGGCGUGCCUAAUACAUGCAAGUCGAGCGAACUGAUUAGAAGCUUGCUUCUAUGACGUUAGCGGCGGACGGGUGAGUAACACGUGGGCAACCUGCCUGUAAGACUGGGAUAACUUCGGGAAACCGAAGCUAAUACCGGAUAGGAUCUUCUCCUUCAUGGGAGAUGAUUGAAAGAUGGUUUCGGCUAUCACUUACAGAUGGGCCCGCGGUGCAUUAGAUAGUUGGUGAGGUAACGGCUCACCAAGGCAACGAUGCAUAGCCGACCUGGGAGGGUGAUCGGCCACACGGGCACUGGGACACGGCCCAGACUCCUACGGGAGGCAGCAGUAGGGAAUCUUCAGCAAUGAACGAAAGUCUGACGGAGCAACGCGGCGUGAGUGAUGAAGGCUUUCGGGUCGUAAAACUCUGUUGUUAGGGAAGAAUAAGUACAAGAGUAACUGCUUGUACCUUGACGGUACCUAACCAGAAAGCCACGGCUAACUACGUGCCAGCAGCCGCCGUAAAAC